GGUUGACCUCGGAUCAGGUAGGAGUUACCCGCUGAACUUAAGCAUAUCAAUAAGCGGAGGAAAAGAAACCAACAGGGAUUGCCUCAGUAACGGCGAGUGAAGCGGCAAGAGCUCAAAUUUGAAAUCUGGCCCCUUGGGGUCCGAGUUGUAAUUUGCAGAGGAUGCUUCGGGUGCGGUCCCCAUCUAAGUGCCCUGGAACGGGCCGUCAUAGAGGGUGAGAAU
rnacentral:rRNA from 1 species